CCGACGCGUCUCCUCCUUCUACCUGAGGGCAGCGCACCUUGAUCCAACGAGACGGAAGUUUCGUGAGGAGCAAGAAAACAGCAAAUCCCGGUUCCUCGCGUGUGACUGGCUCCACGGGAAAGUUCGCUAUAGGAGUUCAACAAGGAUCUACUAAGAGGAUCUCCGGUCCGAGCAGGAUGCGAUGAGCCGGAUCCCACGGGAACAACUGAAAGGUCUUUCCCAACCUUAACUCUCUGCACUCCUCCUGCGCCUCAUGCUGCAGUCCAAAGGCAGCCUGGUCUCCACUGAAGAAGAAUGACAGCUCUCCGCAGAGUGCUCCGCAGGAGGUUGCACCCCCUCAAACUGGUGGCGGUGGCCCUCGUCUUUGUCACGUUCGUGUUCCUCAUACAAUGGGAAGUGGGGAGCCAGAACCAACAGGAGGAGCCCUGGCUGAGGGAGAUCGCGGUGAAGCGGGAUGCCAUGCUGGGCAUGGUGAUUGGGGCUGUCAAUAACUUCAGGGAUGCCAUGCCAAAGAUGCAGAUCCGAGCCCCGGUGCGUCAGCAGGACAGAGCAGACGACACGUCCUGUCUGCCGGGUCGCUACACUGCCGCCGAGCUCAGGCCGGCCCUGGAGCGGCCUCCUCAGAACCCCCUCUCCCCCGGAGCUGCCGGGAAACCUUUCCACACAGACUCGCUGAGCCCCGACGAGCAGAAGGAGAAGGAGAGGGGCGAGGAGAAACACUGCUUCAACCUGUACGCCAGUGACCGCAUCUCGUUGGGCAGAGACCUGGGAGCAGACACCAGACCACCAGAAUGCAUUGAGCAGACCUUCAAGCGCUGCCCCCCCCUGCCAACCACCAGUGUGAUAAUCGUGUUUCACAAUGAGGCCUGGAGCACUCUGUUGAGGACAGUGUACAGUGUCCUGCACACCUCCCCGGCCAUUCUCCUCAAGGAGAUCAUCCUGGUGGACGACGCCAGCGUGGACGAUGCGUUGAAGGACGAGCUGGACGAGUAUUUGAAGCGGCUGAGCAUUGUGAAAGUUGUGCGUCAGCGAGAGAGGAAAGGUCUCAUCACCGCUCGGCUGCUGGGUGCCGCCGUGGCCACGGGUGACACGCUCACCUUCCUGGACGCCCACUGUGAAUGCUUUAACGGGUGGCUGGAGCCUCUGCUGGCAAGGAUAGCAGAGAACUCCACCGCAGUGGUCAGUCCCGAUAUCACGACCAUCGACCUCAACACCUUUGAGUUCAUGAAGCCGUCGCCAUACGGCCAGAACCACAACCGGGGAAACUUUGACUGGGGCCUGGCGUUUGGUUGGGAGAGUCUCCCAGAUCAUGAGAAGAAGAGGAGGAAGGAUGAAACGUACCCCAUCAAGACUCCCACAUUCGCUGGCGGGCUCUUCUCCAUCUCCAAACAAUAUUUCUACGAUAUCGGAAGCUACGAUGAAGAAAUGGAAAUCUGGGGCGGGGAGAAUAUUGAAAUGUCAUUUAGGGUGUGGCAGUGCGGCGGACAGCUGGAGAUCCUGCCUUGCUCCAUCGUGGGUCACGUGUUCCGCACCAAGAGCCCCCACACCUUCCCCAAGGGCACGCAGGUGAUAGCUCGCAACCAGGUCCGUCUGGCCGAGGUGUGGAUGGACGACUACAAGGAGAUCUUCUACCGUCGCAACCAGCAAGCUGCGCAGAUAGCGAGAGAUAGGACAUUUGGAGACACCUCCAAACGUGUGGACCUCCGGGCGCGGCUGCAGUGCAACAGCUUCUCCUGGUAUUUGAAGAACGUUUAUCCGGAGGUCUUCUUGCCUGAUCUCAACCCAAUUCACUUUGGCUCUGUGAAAAGUGUGGGCAAAGACUCAUGUCUGGAUGCUGGCGAGAACAAUGAGGGGGGGAAAGAGCUGAUCAUGUACCCAUGUCAUGGACAAGGAGGGAACCAGUAUUUUGAGUACUCCACACAUCAGGAGAUUAGACACAACAUUCAGAAGGAGCUGUGUUUGCACGGGGCCAGCGGGGCAUUGAAGCUGGAGGACUGCCAGUAUAAAGGCAGGGACACACUUGUAGGAUUGGAGCAAAAAUGGGUACUGAAGGAUAACCAGUUAUUCUUCAUCCCGGGACUGAACCUGUGUCUGAGUGCCCGUCAUGAGCAUCCUUCUCUCACCCAGUGCAACCCCUCAGACAGAUACCAGCUCUGGUCCUUUGUCUAAGUGUGCGAACCGCCACUUUACAAGUAGCUACUCCAUAUGCAUAAGGCAAACAGAGUCCAUAAGAAUACUAAACUAUGCAGUUAUAAUGCAAGUUUUUUUUUUUUUUUUUUUUAGAUCAAGGACAUUGAGUUUUUAAUUUAUUUUUAUACAUCGAAGAACUGAACUGCUGCUGCUGCUGGAGAGUUUGGACUUUGGGAGAAAUCCAGUGUUUCUCUGCCGGAAGGAAAAGCAUUGAAACGAUAUAAGCCCCAGACAGACUGUGAACUGAGAUUCAUAGAGCAAUGAAGAUUGUGUUUGAGAUGCUUUCACUACUCCGAGUCUUCUCAGCCAUGCAGUAUUAGAUGGGAAGACUGCUUGGUACCGUCCAGUGCCUUGGAUGUAAUUUUAUUCUGGGUGGAAAGAGUGGUUAGGGGAUGGUGGUGGAACGGGUAGUUGUAUGGUGGGAUUCGACUUGUGCAGUGGUGUGAUGGGAAUGCUCUUCACGUCAGGGCCGAAGUCGAUUUAUUUAAUUGAAUUAUCUCCUGAGGUGAAUUUCUAAGCCUCAGAGUUUUAAGUUAAGAAAACGUUUGCCAAAAAAAACAAGGAGACGUAAAACGAGAAAAGAGUGACGUUUUGAAUUCUGUAUGUUUAAGUUGCAAGAAAAUGAGUUGACCCUCAAACACGAGAUAUAGAGUUUGUCCAAACCCUGGACUCUGUUUUCAUCCCAAGUUCAAGCAUUCCAAAAUGUCUCUUAAAUUCUCUCAAUCGUGGCAGUUUUUACACGUCGGUGUUUUUGAAAGGAAACGUUCAAUGUAAAAUGAUUGCGCCCAAUGAACUUUAUUUACAGAUCGAAUGCCUCAAACUCGUCCUUUACAGCUGAGCAGGAGUCCACGCAUGAACUUCUGGUGCAGGCACUGGUGUUUAGACCGAAGUGGAACAAUGUAAAUGAUUGUGUUUGGUGAGGAACAGGUCAAAUAUGAGUGUUUUCUAAAACUGGAAACUGGUGUUUUGUAAAGAGUGCCUUGGUAUUUGAGUUGUUAUUUUUUAGCUCAAUAAAUUCUGUUGGGUAGUAUA